UGGGGAAUAUUGCACAAUGGGGGGAAACCCUGAUGCAGCGACGCCGCGUGAGUGAGGAAGUAUUUCGGUAUGUAAAGCUCUAUCAGCAGGGAAGAAAAUGACGGUACCUGACUAAGAAGCCCCGGCUAACUACGUGCC
rnacentral:rRNA from 1 species